AAAACUAGUUGUAAAAUUAAAAAAUUUAUAUUGGAACUUCUUUUUCUUUUAACAUUCAUGUUUAUUUAUUUAUACUAUCUUAGAAUUUGCUGCUCUAAAGGCACUGCAUUUAGUGUCAUAUUGUAGGUUUAAAUUGGUUGUAGAAUUUAUAUUGUUACUUGCAUAUUUAUUUAGCUGAGUUUAAUCUAAGUUUAUAUCUGUGGUGUUUGUAUUAUUUUAGAAUUUACUGUUUUAGACACGUGGCAUGUGGUAUCUCACUAUUACAACUAAGUUUGUGUAUGGCUUGUUUAUAUUAUUUCAGAAUUUGCUAUUUUAGACACUUGGUAUAAGCUGUCAUACUACACGUGGCAUGUGGUAUCCCACUAAUUAGCUAUUUUAAACAUGUGACAAGUGGUAUGACACUGUAUUGAUGUAUGUGAAAUGUAUAGU